AUAAAACCCUUGGUUCUUCUUAUUGAUUGUAUAUGCUCCAUUCAUCAUACCUGGUUUUUGCCCAUAGUGAACAUAAACUCUUUGGGUAAAGAAAAGGGUAUUCACGGUCUAUGCAUGAAAUGCAAGAUGUUGUGAUUAGAGAAAUGCAAAUGUCCUAACACAUGUUUCAUGUUUCCUAGCAAGGUUUUGAUGAUAAUAUAAAAAUAUCUCAUGCAAUUCGUGGUCGUAAGUGAAAACUUAGUGAAAGACUGGUGUUUUCUUGUGAACUAUGAAUUCAUCAGGUUUCACUAUGGUCUUAAAUAUUAUGACAACUUAGUAUAAUAGGUGUUUUCUUGUGAAUUAUGAAUUCAUCAGGUUUCACUAUGGUCUUAAAUAUUAUGACAACUUAGUAUAAUAGCAAGCUAUUAGAAAGAGACCUAAACCAAUUGGAUUGCCAUUUCUUCCUCAAGCCAAGAUACAGAGAGGUCUCUAAACCAAUUAGAUUGCUGUUUCUUCUUUAAGCCAAGAUACAGAGAGGUUUCACUUUGAGCUCAGAGAUCAUGACAAGUUUGGAUAUUAGCAAGCUACUCCCUACUGUACUGGAGAGCGCUAGACCUAUUAGAUUGCCAAGUCUUCCUCUAGCCAAGAUACAAAACGAUUAGGAAAUUCCAUGAUACUCAAAAGGAAACCAGUUAUUUAAUAAGUGAUCUUCCUAACACAUGUUUGAUGCCUCCUAACAAUAAUUUGAUGGUCAUAAUUACAUAUCUCAUCCAAUUCAUGGUUGCUUAAGUGGAAAUUUAAUGAAAGGGUGGACCUUCAUGGCUUUGGUCUUGUGGUAAGAGUGCUGCGUAUGAUGUAUGGUUUAGGAGAACAUCAUGGGUUCAAACCCUGCCAUAGACAAAAACCCAUUAUUUAAGUGUAUUUAAGUGGAGAAGAGUAGAGGGUGGGCCCAUUAUCUACUGAGUUUCGAACCAUGUACCCUCAGAGAUUUCUCGGUUAUAUUUAAAUGCAAAUCCUUAAUGAAAGUGUGGUGUUCUCUUGUGAAUUCAUUAGGUUUCACUCUGAGCAUAGAGAUUAUGACAAGUUAGAAUUUUAUCAAGCUAUUUUUUUUAGAAGGAAAUUUUUUAUCAAGCUAUUUUUACAACAACAACAACAACUACCCAGUAUACUCCCACCAGGUGGGGUCUGGGGAGGGUAAUAUGUAGACGAGCCUUACCCCUGCCCGAAAGGCAGAGAGGCUGCUUCCAAUCGACCCUCGGCGAGUAGAGUAAAAAUGGGAAAGUUGUGGCUACCGGCGAGUAGCUAUUUUUGGACACCAAAAUUUGCAUUUAGCAUAUAAAUCUAGUGUACUAGUUUUCAGUGACAGCUAGGGUAUGAAAGUAAGAUUUACUCAUUGCCAGGGGAGUACACAGAUUUUUAGACCAUAAGAAAAGGAUUAAAUAUGACUGAUACCAAGUAUUUUGAACAUUACAGAUGUUGCAUCUUUUAACAAAUUCAGCGUGUUUAGAUAUAAAUAGCGAGAUUAUAUGCGUUAUGGAAGUGUAGAUAGUAACGUAUUAAAAUCGCUUGUUCUUGAAAAUAUAUUUUGGAACUAUAACUUAAUGUGUUCUACAGUUACCAUCUCUUUGACCUGUUAACAUUUUACGAACAUCAUUACAAUUUUUAAUUGCUGGGGGGACUCUACUUUGUUAACAUGCAUAUGUUUGUUAGACCCUAUUGAGUAUACAUGUACUGGAGCUACAUCCUAAACCUGCUCAAUUGCAACUGUUAUUGCAUAAGACACAAUUCUUUUACUCUAUCCACUCGAUGCAG
rnacentral:lncRNA from 1 species